UACGGCCACUUCGCGUUGUAACACCGUUUCCCGUAUGAUCACUGAUGUUAAGCAACGUCGAGCCUGGUCAGUACCUAGAUGGGUGACCGCUUGGGAAUAUCAGGUGCUGUCAG